UGAUGAUGAGGUCACUUCCUGUUCCUUUCCAGGUGGUUCAGAUGAGAUGUCAGUUGGUUUUCGAUGUUCAUCUUUUGGAGGAGACUCACCAUGAUCAGACCUGUCUUCAUUAUCACUGUACCACUAUUCUGGAUCACAGGUGUGUCUCUCAGUAAUGAAGUGUACCAGUCUCCUUCUAAGAUCCUGGUAAAGCCUGAUGGUUUUUCCACACUCAACUGCAGUCACAAAAUAUCCAACUAUGACACCAUCCUCUGGUACCAUCGUUCAUUGGGAGACACGGCUCUCAAACUCAUAGGAUACUCUUUUUAUAAAGACCCUAAAGUUGAACCCUCAUAUCAAAUAUAUUUUAACAUGUCAGGCGAUGGAAGGAGUGAGGCCUUCCUUCAUCUUUUCAACCUGAGACUGACAGAAGACAGUGGGGAGUAUUUCUGCGCUGCUAGUCAACACAGUGGUUCACAGUCCCAGUCCACUGUACAAAAACCCUAUCAGAUCCAGCACACUCUGUUCCGUGUGCUGGAGCUUGUCCGGCUG
rnacentral:lncRNA from 1 species